CUAGUAUUCCCUUCGUCCUAAAUUUUUUUGUCUUAAAUUUAUCUAGAUAUGAAUGUAUUUAGUGACAUUUUAAUAUUUUGAUACAUUCACUUUUAGAAAAAUCUAAGACAAAAUUUUUGAGACGGAGGGAGUACUUA
rnacentral:pre_miRNA from 1 species